rnacentral:lncRNA from 1 species
CAAGAAAUACCGUGAAAAGCUAACUGUAAAGACACUUGAUGAGACAAAUAAAUAGUUACCGUGGUACCUUCUCAUCUGAAAUUGGUUGAUUAUGUAAGGAUAAAAGCUUCAGAGAUCGACGCAAGUUAUCAUGAUCAUUCUCUCGAUAUUAAAAACGUCGAUAUUUCCCUGUAUGUUAACUGUUUUGGUUUAUCUCUUUCUCAUUGUUUCAUUUCAUUGCUGUCACGUAUAUGCUCAAGCAAUCUUGUAAACGAUUAAGUAGUGAAUCAAUAUUUAGGAUCGGUUUUAUUAUUUCUCAUUUACGUUUGUUCUUCUAAUAACUACUUUAGCUUGCAUAGAUUAUUUGAACAAAAUGUAAUGCAUUGAGACUACAAAGCAAUUAUUCUUGAUGAAUUUAACGCUAUGUUCAGGAAAGAAAGACAGAAAAAGGAGGGUUUUCGUCUUGCCUGACAACAAUAUGACAUCUCAGUGUUUGCUAAGCGAUCUCUGGCAGGAAAGUUCAAAGACAAUAUGAAAGGGACUUAGCGGCCGGGGGGGGGGGGGGGGGGGGGGCUGGGCGUCGCAGAAGUUUUGUUCAGAUUAAAACAAUUAACAAACACAGAAAGUUAGAAAUUUGCUCGGCCCCCAUAGACAAAAUCGUUUUCAUUCUUGUUUCUUUUUUUUCAUUAGUGAGUUGGGGAGGGGGUAUAGGGUGAACAAUCAAAGACCUCUUAAAUUAUUAUUUACACCGUAACAGUUGUCACUUUGCCUUCUUAGAUCCCCCAUUAUUCUAUCCAAUUAAAACAGGGGAUUGGGAGGAAACUUGACUGGUUAUGGAGCUUACACAUGAUUGAUAUAGAUAUUUCUUUUAUUUUUCGUAGUUAUCGCAAAAGUGGGAUAAAACAAGAAGAAAAAAGCGACAGAAAAGAUUAUUCAUUUCAUUGAGUAUUCGUACUCCAUAAUUUAUUUCAGCUUUUCAUACUUUAUACAUAUAUACGUACAUAUAUUUACAAACUGCCUUUAUUAAUGGCACAAACCACAUUCCUGCACAUCACAUCCAAAAUUGCACAAGGGUGUGAAUAUAAAUUAAGGUGAUCUACAUUUAAUUCAUAAAUCCUCUAAUCAAAUCAAAUCAUUAACUUGAGAUUGAUUGAAGUGCUUAAUUGGCUUGGACUUAUAAACUAUGAUUAGGGUCAAGUAUGUAAACAAAUUAUCAACAAUUAAUCAAACAAUAUCAUUGAACUGGUCUCAAAUGAUUUUUUUUUCUUCUCCAUUUCAUUUAUGAGACUUCUUUCAAUUCAGUUAGAAGUUUAAAUUUCCUUUUUUGAUUUAUCAAUAUUAGAUUACACUUUAAUCAUAUCUUGGGUGCCAAACUUAUUAAGACUUUUCGUUUCUGUCUUCGUUUUGACUUUGGAUCUUUUGAAGUUUUGUAGGAACGUAGCCAUGUUAUACUUUUAGACUUGGGAUCUUUUGAGGGAGAUAAAUCUCAAAAUAUUCAACAUUUUUGAUACACUAGUUUUAAGCGACACCCGUUUAAAAAGUUUUAUUUGUACUCAGCAGAAUUCCUCGAACUCUUUUUGCAGAUAGUUGUUGGUUAUCGAUAUCAUGUUUCACGAAGAAAAAAAAAUCAGUUCGGUGUGAUUUAAUUAAUAAAUCAUCUAUUUUUUUUUCUGGAAAAAAUGAUAUCAUCUAAAGUGUUUUUUGUAAGAGUGGUGUGAAUCUGAUAUUUUGGGUAGCAACUAGAUACCUUUCUUCAAAAUUUACAGUGAUUAUAAUGGACUAUCCGAAUAUACGCAUGAUGCUUAAGGGAAACAAAAGUAUGCUAGAAAGACGAAAAAGAUAAUGUCCCUUUUGAAUUCAAUCUUCACUCUGAAUCUGAAUCCAAGUAUUCGUAUUUCAUGACCCGUUCGAGAGGUCUA